rnacentral:lncRNA from 1 species
CUGUUGAGGGUUGUACAAAUGGUACGUUGACCUCACAUCAUAAGCACUUUGAGCGCCGGCGAUCGCGGCGAACAAACUGAGCAGUACGGUGGUCAAUAACAAAGCUACACUCACUCUUUCCAUCCUUUUUUUGUUUAUUGUUUAUGGUUAAAUAUUGUGUGUGAUUUGAAGAUUUGAGAUUGGAGAUUGUUUCGGUGUUGUGAAUUUAUAUUGGAAAGGUGUAAUAUAAGGAGAAACAGAAGAAUGAGUGUUUUUGUUGGAUGAAUGAUGAUUAAUGUAGUAUGUCCUGUUUUGAUUGUCAUAAUUUGAUGACGAAGAAGUUUCUUGUUGAGAAAUAAUUGGUGUCUCAUUAGUCAUUACAAUGAUAUUUAAUUUAAUUUUUUUUUAGUGAAAAAUGCGGAUGUAAAGUCUUAAUUAUUUUGAAUUAUUAGCUAUUAGUUUAGAUGAGACUUGUGAUGUCUUUGAAUGUCUUUGAAUGUUUUUUGUUAUUUUAGCUUUUGAGAAAGUUAUGGAGGCGACUCCCACGCUGAACUCGAAAUUGAGAUACUAAAUCCAACUUCUGACCAAUUUUUAUAAGCAAUCGACUUGUGGACGACUUGAAUCACAACAAAUAUAAAAAAGACAUGAUCUAAAUUAAUUAAUAAUGUCGAGCUCUGAUGGUUAUAUGCGGGAUCAAUUUGUUAAUAAGAUUGUUUUUUCAUAAAUGAAGUAAAUUAUUUUGAUUAAUAAGAUACUUAAAUCAUAAAUAUAUGAUUAUCUUUGUCAUGAAUUUUAUUUGGACGUGAUUCGUAGGUGUGAUUAUUGGGUCGUCCUUAUUAGUUUGGGUUGGAAGACCGGUCAAUUAGGCUGAGAAGUGUCAAUAUUCGACUCGACAUACCAAAUUAAUUGGGUGGCGACUGGGUGAGGAGAGUUGUUUUACUCUUAAUACUGUCGGAUCACUCAUUCCCACCUUGGUGGUGAGGUGGCAAGGGGUGUCACACGGGACGACGACACCUUUGUGAAAGCUUUCACAGUCAACUUUGGAACUUGUUCCAUUACCCGUGUUGAGAUGCGUGCGAUUGUGGAUGGUCUGCAUCUUGUUUGGACUCUGGAGAUGCUCAAAGUUAGGGUCCAAUCGGACUCUAUGGCGGUGAUUGCUAUUCUUUUCAAUUCUUCUUUUCUGGAUCACCAACGUGCCAUUUUUGUUCUGCAGUUACAUGAGUUCUACGUCUGUCAACGAUAAAUUAACCUUUUUCCAUACUUAUCGCGAAGCGAAUUAAGUUGUGGACUACUUGGCAAUGACAUUUUUUUAUUUAUAGUUUACAUAUUUUUUAUUCGCCAAAUCAAAAUAUGUCUCACUGGCUUUAAUAUAACUUUAUGAGUAUUUCGUUCUCUAAAUUUGUGAUAAUUUUAAUCAAUAGUUAAGUGUGUUAAAAAAAAGAGUAAGGUAUCUUUUGUGGAAUACAUCUGGGCGUUACUAGCCAAGUAAGUAGUGUGAACUGACUUUUGUUUUGAGUGAAAUAGCCAACGGAUUAUUAAAUUGCACACACAUACUCAAACAUCCUUUUCUAGAAAACAACCGUAUUCAUUACUGAUUAUUAACGUCCAUAUUCCGGUCCGGCGGCAACCGUACAACCAUAAGACGGCGCCUAAGUAGCCGGUCUGGCCGGAAUAUACCUUAUUUCAUCAUCAUAACUUUAUUACUUACGUUGUUACUACAACAUCUAUAUAUAAGUUUUAACUUUUUAGUCUCAACAAUUGACGAAUGUAUAGUCAACCAUGAGAUGGCCUUGAGCAUUUCCUCUUCCAUCGGUAUCAAUCUUCCUGAAAACAUUGACGUCCAGAUCUAACCCUCCGUUGCUACAUUGAUCGACAAUUCUCACCGUCGCUUCCGCCCUUGUCGCUCUGUUCGUCACCUACAUGAUCGUGGGGCACAGUCAGAAUUUUAGCCAAGGAGAGAUCAUAAUAAAAAAAAUAGAAAAUAAAUUAUUAAAAUUUUCAGUUUUUCACCUUUCUAUAUUUCUAUAUAUUACAGCCAUCACAAAUUUAAUUUUAAUAUCUCUUAUUUGAUUGCUAAUUAAGUAAUUGAGUUGUACGAGUUUUGACUUAAUAUAUCCAAAUUAGAUCUAAAAUUCGAACGUAAAAUUCGAAUCUUGACAUAUGUUUUAAACAUAAUUUAUACUCUUAAGUAGAAUUCAGUGACCCCACUUGAAACUCUUGCCUCCGCCACUGAAUCGACAUAUAUUUUGCUAUAUGUAAAUCAAAAUGUAACACACCCUUAAAUAAUGGCUGCACGAGGCUUGAUCUCAGUUCGUAGCACACCACUAAUUGUUACCCAGUUUCCAUAUCUAACCAUUCUUCAAAAAAUAAUUCUAAUGUUCCACCAAUUUGUCUCAUUACUCACAAAUGUCACCCUUAUGAAAAGAUAUAAAAUAAAUUGAUUAGAUAGUACGAGUGAGAAUGAUAGCAUUUGUUUGUGACAUGAAUAAAUGGUGACUAUGUGUGAAUAUAAUGAAUGUGCGUGAAUAAUUAAUAAUCAACGUGAUAAAGUAUCAUUUGUGUAUGACAUAAAUAAAUAGUGACUAUGCGUGAAUAUAAAUGAAUGUGCGUGAAUAAUUAAUAAUCCGUGUAAAAAAAUAAAAUUUGUGCGUAAAUUGUGAAACAAAUAUCCAGAAAAAUUGUCAAAAUUAAUUAUAACGUACCUUCAAGCAGCGGCCGCAAGCAGCUUGGCCACGGGGUCCAGAGGGACCGCAGAAGGCUGUCCAGCCGUACUUCUGGCGCCAGGCCAAGGGCUUGUUGGCAUCCCAAGUGGAGCAAUAAGCACUAACGGCGUUCAAGUUCCAUCCGUUCUGUUGAGGGUUGUACAAAUGGUACGUAGACCUCACAUUCGAAGCACUCUGGCCACUGGCGAUCGCAGCGAACACACUGAGUAGCAGAGCAAAUAACAGAGCUGCACUCAAUCUCUCCAUACUUGUAAGUUCUGAUGUGAUUUGGAGAAGGUUUGGUGUUAUGAAUUUAUAGUGGGAAGAAGAACGUACGUGUCCAGCCAUCAAAGUUGGAAAAAAGAUGGUCUAGCUAAGACUUAAGAGGCUUAUGGCUACCAUCAUCUUUGUCACUAAAAAUGUCAGUUGGGUUAUGUACAAUCUUGAAUCUAGAAACCUUAUCGUGUACGUGGAUGGAAAUCCAGUUUUCCCACAAGAAGAACCGUCGAAUUCAGCAGGAAAAACCAGUAGCAGCCUUGCAAGAUAGUCAAUUUACAUGACGUUACUCUGUUUUUUAAGGAUGAGAUGACACGUACACUUUUGCCAAAACAAGAGACGAGACAACGUACAUAUAUAUAUAUAUCAGAUUUGUCGACAAAUUUCAAUAGUGUAGAAGAGCUGAUGUUUGCAACGUUGAUAAAUCACGUGUACUGUUUGCUCUACUGGUUCGAGUUUUUGUAUAUAUGUUUUAGUUGUCUGUAAUUUCGUAUAUUUUCCUUGAGAUCGAUACUAAUGAAUUCGGGUUGACUCUCUCCUACUGAGAUUCUGUAGACGUAGAGUUCUCUGGAACUAUGUGACCAAACCUUUGUGCCUCUUGCUAUUACUUUUUGGGCUUUGAUUCAUUGUCCUGAUUGAUGCUCGCCGACAGUUUAGUUUAGGACUCAUGAUUUAGGUUAUUAAAUUUUUAAAAACUUUGAUCAUUUCAUGAACUAUUACAUCUCAAUAAUUCGAAUGAUUGAGGAGAGAGUUCAGAUUCGCUUAACAUGCAAACACAAAAGUUGCAUGCAUUAAGAAGCCAGGUAUGAACCGGUAUUGCAGGAAAUUUUGGAGGCAUUCAAAAUCAGAAGAGAAAAAAUGGAUGGAAAUCAUUAUAAGGCAAAGAAAUUUCGAUUGGACUUGACUUGAAAGAUAAGGAAUGAAGACUUGGGAAGUCACUUGGUUGAUGAAUUCAAAGUUGGUGGCCUACAUGCCCAAGUCAUAAGCUCUCAUAGAUGGUAAAUAAUUAAUGCUAAGUAGAUAAUUAUGUUGUAAUUUAAUGAGUUUUUGGUUAAAAGGAUUGUUCAUUAGAUAUGGUAAAGGAUAGAAAAUGAAUAAUUGUAGAUUUCUUUAAGGAGAUUGAGGAGGAGAGACUCGAACCCUCCCCUCCUCCUCAACCUCUAUUUCAACCUCUUUUAACCUUUCAACCUUACCAUCUCUACUAAACUAGUUUUGUAACAUUAUUAUGCAUGUACUUCGAUUUAAAAAUUAAGUGACACCCAACCACUGUACUACAAAUAAUACCAAGCCAGAGAAAAGUAAGAAACUGCUCCAAAGAUUGAUAAGAUUACCCAUUCAAUUCAUAUGAAUUAACAAUUAACAAACCCUUCCUUCCAACUGGAAAGACAAUCGUACCCUUCCCUUAUUAACAUCCAUAUUCCGUUCCCACGUACGGCACCACCGUAAACUAUAAAACGGCGGCCGGCCAGGCUGGAAUGACUUAUUUCUUCGUAUAGUUAUCAUAUAGUUAAUGACUUAAUUUAUACUGUUUUUUUUAACUUUAGUCUCCACAGUUAACGAAUUGAUAGUCAACCAUGAUGUGGCCUUGAGCAUUUCCUCUUCCGUCGGUAUCGAUCCUCUUAAAAACACCAACGUCCAGAUCCAGACCUCCGUUGCUACACUGGUCAACAAUUCUCACCGUCUCUUGUGCUCCGGUUCCUUUGUUCGUCACCUAUAUAUAGUAACGUAGAAACCGAACAUUAACUUCGAAAUUCAGUGUUCUAUUAACCUGUAAUAUGUUACUUAAUAGUAUAACUAAUGCAUUAGGACCGGUCCAGUUCGAACUAAAAACUAUUGCACCGUUUCUUAGGCCAAUCCGGUCUGUUAAAAGAAAUUCUUAAACAAUAUGCCGAUGUGGUGGAUGUUUUGGGAGGGAAUUAGUGGUUUAGUGAGUUUACGUAAUUUGGACAAUUGUUGUUUGAUUUUUAAAAAUGGUGGAGAUUUAAUAUCAUCAUAUCUAUGAGAUUAUGAUAAUUUUAAGUCUAAUUUAAAAUCACCACGAAUUUGGUGAGAAUUAAAAAAUUUUAAAGUAAUUUACGUACAGAUUGAUUUAAUUAAAAUUUAGAAAUUAUGGAAAUUGUCACUUGAAGUAUAAAAUAUUAGAAUCAAAUAUAAUAUUAGAAUUAAAGGGAAAUCAAUUUUUUUCUAAAUGGGCUGAUUAAACUAUUCUUCAUUUUAAUAUUAGAAUCACUCUUAAUUUUUUUUUUACAAAAAUAUUUAUAAAAUCACUAAUUAUUUCAAAUAAACUCUACGUAAAUAUCAAAAUCAAAAAACCUUUUGGGCCAUUUUUUGUGAUUUAUGAACCUAAUACUAAUUAAGAGUUUUAUAUUAUCCCAACCAAAAAAACAAUGUUAUAUUGUUGUGCUUAUUUUAUAUUGACUUGUACCAAUAUGAUACUAAUGUUUAAUUUUCCUAUAUCAACAAUGUAACCAGUCCUUCGAACAAAUUCUUAAAAAUUCGAACCAGAAGACGGAGAAUCAAGCAACAUACCCUUAAACAACGGCCGCAAGAGGCUUGACCCCUAGGUCCAGCCGGACCGCAGAAGGCAGUCCAGCCGUACUUCUGGCGCCAAGCCAAUGGCUUGCUGGCAUCCCAAGUCGAACAGUAAGCGCUAGCAGUCAUCAAGUUCCAUCCAAUCUUUUCAGGCUCGUACAUAUGGUACGUAGCCCUCACGUUAGUAGCACUCUCUCCACCACCACCACCACCUGUGCCCCCACCACCGCUAGCCGGCCUACAGUUGCUCUGGCAAGCCUUGGAAGGGGGCGAGUGUCGUUGGUGCUACCCCCAGUAACCAUAUUGGCUGCAGCAGAGGUUGUUGGCACAGGUUUGGCCGCCGGCUUGCCGGCCGCAGUUUUGAGCAGUGGCUAUUGCGGCCAAGAAACAGAGCACUAAGGUGGUGAAUAACAUGGAUGCCCUCAUUUUUUCGCUUCUUCUUGUUCUAGCUUUUGUUGAUUGAUUGAUUCUGUGGAGUUUUGUUAUUUUUGGUGUUGAAUUUAUAGGAGAAGUAGUACAAAUUUG